rfam:Candidatus Magasanikbacteria bacterium RIFCSPLOWO2_12_FTLL_43_12 rifcsplowo2_12_scaffold_1198, whole genome shotgun sequence.
CCAGGCACUAAAGUGCCUGGCUAUUAUCUAUCGUCCCUGAUGGGACU